UGAGGAAUAUUGGUCAAUGGAAGGAAUUCUGAACCAGCCAAGCCGCGUGAAGGAAGACGGCCCUAUGGGUUGUAAACUUCUUUUGUUGCAGAACAAAAACCCGGACGUGUCCGGGUCUGAGUGUAUGCAAAGAAAAAGCAUCGGCUAACUCCGUGCCAGCAGCCGCGGUAAUACGGAGGAUGCGAGCGUUAUCCGGAUUUAUUGGGUUUAAAGGGUGCGUAGGCGGCUUGUUAAGUCAGCGGUAAAAUUGCGGGGCUCAACCCCGUCGAGCCGUUGAAACUGGCGAGCUUGAGUUGGAGAGAAGUAGGCGGAAUGCGCAGUGUAGCGGUGAAAUGCAUAGAUAUUGCGCAGAACUCCGAUUGCGAAGGCAGCUUACCGGCUCCAUACUGACGCUGAGGCACGAAAGCGUGGGGAUCGAACAGG
rnacentral:rRNA from 1 species